CACGUAGGGCGCAAGCGUUGUCCGGAAUUAUUGGGCGUAAAGAGCUCGUAGGCGGUCUGUUGCGUCCGCUGUGAAAACCCGGGGCUUAACCCCUGGCUUGCAGUGGAUACGGACAGACUAGAGGUAGGUAGGGGAGAAUGGAAUUCCCGGUGUAGCGGUGAAAUGCGUAGAUAUCUGGAGGAACACCGGUGGCGAAGGCGGCAUCCUGGACCGGCAUUGACGCUGAGGCGCGAAAGCUAGGGGAGCAAACGGG
rnacentral:rRNA from 1 species